rnacentral:rRNA from 1 species
CCAGACUCCUACGGGAGGCAGCAGUGAGGAAUAUUGGUCAAUGGGCUUACGCCUGAACCAGCCAAGUCGCGUGAGGGAAGACUGCCCUAUGGGUUGUAAACCUCUUUUGUCAGGGAGCAAUUGGCGCUACGUGUAGCGUUAUCGAGAGUACCUGAAGAAAAAGCAUCGGCUAACUCCGUGCCAGCAGCCGCGGUAAUACGGAGGAUGCGAGCGUUAUCCGGAUUUAUUGGGUUUAAAGGGUGCGUAGGCGGGCUGCCAAGUCGGCGGUAAAUUUGCGGGGCUCAACCCCGUCGAGCCGUUGAAACUGGCGGUCUUGAGUGGGCGAGAAGUAUGCGGAAUGUGUGGUGUAGCGGUGAAAUGCAUAGAUAUCACGCAGAACUCCGAUUGCGAAGGCAGCAUACCGGCGCCCGACUGACGCUGAAGCACGAAAGCGUGGGUAUCGAACAGGAUUAGAUACCCCGGUAC